GAUGAACGCUAGCUGCAGGCUUAACACAUGCAAGUCGCGGGGCAGCAUGGGGGCUGCUUGCGAUCCCCGACGGCGACCGGCGCACGGGUGAGUAACGCGUAUCCAACCUGCCCUUCACCACGGGAUAACCCGGCGAAAGUCGGACUAAUACCGUAUGUUGACCAUUGGGGGCAUCCGAUAUGGACGGACGGCUCGGCGGUGAAGGAGGGGGAUGCGUCCGAUUAGGUGGACGGCGGGGGGACGGCCCGCCGUGGCGACGGUCGGUCGGUGUGCGGAGAGGAAGGUCCCCCGCACUGGAGCUGCGACACGGACCAGACUCGUACGGGAGGCAGCAGUAAGGUAGAGUGUGCAAUGGGGGUAAGCCUGAACCAGCCAAGUAGCGGGCAGGAUGACGGCCCUAUGGGUUGUAAACUGCUUGUAGGCGGGGAUAAAGUGGCCCACGUGUGGGUUUUUGCAGGUACCGCAUGAAUAAGGACCGGCUAAUUCCGUG
rnacentral:rRNA from 1 species